GAUGAACGCUAGCGGGAGGCCUAAUACAUGCAAGUCGAGCGGUAGAGUGACUUCGGUUGCUUGAGAGCGGCGCACGAGUGAGUAACGCGUACAUGACCUACCUUUAAGACUGGGAUAGCCCUGGGAAACUGGGAUUAAUACCGGAUGUGAUAAUACGUAUAGAGAUGUAUUAUUAAAGUUGAGGCGCUUAGAGAUGGAUGUGCGUCUGAUUAGCUAGUUGGUAGGGUAACGGCCUACCAAGGCUACGAUCAGUAGGGGCGUGAGAGCGUGGCCCCCCACACGGGUACUGAGACACGGGCCCGACUCCUACGGGAGGCAGCAGUAAGGAAUAUUGGUCAAUGGACGAAAGUCUGAACCAGCCAUGCCGCGUGGAGGAUGAAGGUCCUCUGGAUUGUAAACUUCUUUUAUAUGGGACGAAAAAGGGUUUUCUAACUCGUCUGACGGUACCAUAUGAAUAAGCACCGGCUAACUCCGUGCCAGCAGCCCGGUAAACUACUCGUA
rnacentral:rRNA from 1 species